GGCCGGUUGGCCCAAUGGCAAGGCGUCUGACUACGACUAAGCGCUUCCGCGACUUGGCAUGUUAUCAGGAGAUUCUGGGUUCGACCCCCAGGCUGGUCA
rnacentral:tRNA from 1 species